GGUCCAUGAGGAUGAUCUUUAAGGCUUUUCUCAAAACAUUCGCAGUGGCCGCCUGAGAGCUUUCGCCUUCGCCAGGCUUGAGAGCUUAUGCUGCUUUUAUCCUUCCUUGGAUGUCUGAGACC